rnacentral:rRNA from 1 species
AUUGAACGCUAGCGGGAUGCUUUACACAUGCAAGUCGAACGAGUGGCGGACGGGUGAGUAAUAUAUCGGAACGUGCCCAGGAGCGGGGGAUAACUACCCGAAACAGGGGCUAAUACCGCACACUAUUGGAGCGGCCGAUAUCGGAAUAGCACCUUGGUUGGGUACAGGCUCACCAAGGCAACGAUCCGUAGCGGGUUUGAGAGGACGACCAGCCACACUGGGACUGAGACACGGCCCAGACUCCUACGGGAGGCAGCAGUGGGGAAUUUUGGACAAUGGGGGAAACCCUGAUCCAGCCAUCCCGCGUGUAUGAGAAGGCCUUCGGGUUGUAAAGUACUUUUGGAAGAGAAGCGGUAUCUGCAGAAUAAGCACCGGCUAACUACGUGCCAGCAGCCGCGGUAAUAC